GCUGGUUGUAGCUGAGAUCAAGAUGAUUUAACUGAGUAAGUUUUGUUAGUCGGGGAAUGCAUCCGUUGAACAUGUUCCUGCUCAGGUUCAUGUCAUGAAGCUUUAAAAAUGAAUCAAAGGUUUGUGGGAUCUGACUAAAAUUGUUUGAAGAUAAGUCCAGAUACUCAAGCAUGGUUAAGACACUCAACCUUGCGGGAACUCUUCCAGAUAGCUGAUUCCCAUUAAGUAGUAGCUUUGACAAACCUGUGAGUUUUCCAAUUGAUUCUGGAAGCUCACCAAUUAGGUUGUUGGUAGACAGAUCCAACUCAACUAGUUGUGUCAUGUUCCAAGUCUCUGGUGGGAUAACACCUGUGAUGUUGUUGUUUGACAUGAUCAAGGCACCUAGUUUUCGACUCUUCUCCCAGUUGCCUGAAAUCUCACCAUGGAAUUUGUUGUGACUAAGAUCAAUGAAAUCAAGAUGUGGGUAAACACCAAAAGCUUCAGAAAUAUCUCCAAUGAAUAUGUUCCCUAUGAAUCUUGCUCUAAUCAAGCUCUGACAAUUUUUCAAACUUUUUGGUAUAGGACCUUCGAGGUGAUUAUCAUCUAAUGAGAGAUAUUGAAGCUUCCCACCUUCACAAAUGUUUCCAGGCAAGAAACCAGUGAAGUUGUUUCUACCGAGUUGCAAGAUAGUCAACUUUGAAGAGUUUGAUACUCCUAGUGGAAUAAGACCAGAGAGGUGGUUAUCACUAAGGCACAACAAUUCCAG
rnacentral:lncRNA from 1 species